GGGCCUCUCACUGUUGUGGCCUCUCCCGUUGCAGAGCACAGACUGGACGCGCAGGCUCAGCGGCCAUGGCUCACAGGCCCAGCCGCUGUGCAACAUGUGGGAUCCUCCCGGACCGGGGCACAAACCCGUGUCCCCUGCAUCGGCAGGCAGACUCUCAACCACUGCGCCACCAAGGAAGCCCUGACCUCACACCUGGCAAGGUCUGCCUCCCUUUCUGGUCCACUUUCUCCACCUGAAGCUAGAAGCUGCAGAUGCCGGUACCUGAGAUUCAGUGGUUGGGAGGAAACCCAAUCUUUCUCAACAUCUCCUGAGUUUGGAAACUUCAUGGAUUUGAGGGGUUAUAUGGAGGAGUUCAUCGCACACCACGACCAUCUGCCGUCUGGGUGGCUCCAGAUCUUCUUCCCCUUUCCACUUGGUUGUCAUACAAAAGGGAGCAGCACCUCCUCCUGUGUGUCUCUUUUCCUCAGAGAAAUAGUUCCCAAAAGCCA